rnacentral:rRNA from 1 species
UUGACGGGGAGCACCACAACGGUGGAGCUUGCGGUUUAAUUGGAUUCAACGCCGAAAUCUUACCGGGACCGACAGCAAUAUGAAGGCCAGGCUGAAGACUUUGCCGGAUUAGCUGAGAGGUGGUGCAUGGCCGUCGUCAGUUCGUACUGUGAAGCAUCCUGUUAAGUCAGGCAACGAGCGAGACCCACGCCCACAGUUGCCAGCGUACUCUCUGGAGUGACGGGUACACUGUGGGACCGCCGCUGCUAAAGCGGAGGAAGGAAUGGGCAACGGUAGGUCAGUAUGCCCCGAAUAUCCCGGGCUACACGCGAGCUACAAUGGUUGGUACAAUGGGUAUCUACCCCGAAAGGGGACGGGAAUCUCCUAAAACCAAUCUUAGUUCGGAUUGAGGGCUGCAACUCGCCCUCAUGAAGCUGGAAUCCGUAGUAAUCGCGUUUCAACAGAACGCGGUGAAUACGUCCCUGCUCCUU